rnacentral:rRNA from 1 species
UGUGUAGGCGGCCGUGCCAGUCUGGUGUGAAAUCUUCACCGCUCACCGGGAAGGAGUCACUGGAUACUGCACGGCUCGAGUAUGGUAGAGGCGAGCGGAAUUCCAGGUGUAGCGGUGGAAUGUGUAGAUAUCUGGAAGAACACCGGUGGCGAAGGCGGCUCGCUGGGCCAUCACUGACGCUGAAACACGAAAGCGUGGGGAGCAAACGGGAUUAGAUACCCCGGUAGUCCACGCUGUAAACGGUGCGCACUAGGUGUGGGGGGUAUCGACCCCCCCUGUGCCGACGCAAACGCAUUAAGUGCGCCGCCUGGGGAGUACGGCCGCAAGGUUGAA